CAAAGGAUUCUAACAGCGAUGGCAAAAGGUUAGAGUGUUAAAUGAGGUCGUACGUGUUAUAGGAACGGAGAUAAUUGCUUGUUUAAACUCGAGUGACCUCGUGCCUGACCCGAUGAGUAAAUUGUUGGUGAAGCAAUUCACAAAGCAGAAACUAGCUUGAAGUUGUGUAUAAGAACAAAAUAAUUCUCCAGAAAAGAAUGUAAAACAGAUCUUAAAUGAUUGUAAUAAACGGAGAAGUAAUUCUGUCAGGUUAUGUCCGGGUGGUUAAGAUUAUAGGGUUAUGAGACGACGGGUUAAGGUUGUAAUAAGAGAUGGGGUUGAUAAUAAAACGACAUGAGAGU